CUGGUUCCAUCUUUAUUAUUAUUCUGUUGGAAUAUCCUAUCUGUGCGUUUACGCCGGACCUAGUUUCGUCUUUAUUAUUCUGUUAGAACAUCCUGUCGGUGCGAAUUUUGCCUGACCUGGUUCCGUUACUUAUUAAUCUGUUGGAAUAACCUGUCUAUGUGAAGUACCGCAUGCAUGGUGAUUUCUUUUGUUAUUCCAUUCGUUAUUAUACUCAGUUGGUUAAAGUUUUGACUUCUAUACUCCAUCAAAUUAGUGGAAUAUCCUUGAUAUUUGUGGCCUAUAGUGCAUAGAUGGACUUGGUAUGAUUAUGACCAGGGAUUAUUCGGUGUAAUCAUGACUGUAAUGUUAUAAAUGAUGUGAAAAAAGUCCUCAUUGUCCCGUAGUGCAUUGAUGGAUAGUUGUUGGCAUGAUCAUGACCAUUAAUGAAUACAUAAAUAUUCUUAGCCCGUAGUGCAUGGACAAUUGUGGUCGUGAUACUAAAGAAUAUCCUUGGCCGUAGUGCAGGGGUGAUUCGAUGAUGUGGAUUAUUUAUUAAGCCGAGUCCCAGCGAUAAAAGUCAUGAAAAACCUUUUAAAUCAUAGAAGAUAGUAGAUUUUAUUCUCUACUUGACUCUUCAAAUGGAUUGCUUGUUCCGCUGUAGUUAAACUUGAUGUUUGUUAUAUUUUAUCAGUUUAACACUGUUGAAGGCUAAUGAUAAUUUAUUCUGCAUUAUCUUAGUCAUAAUAUUUCUUACUAGGCUAGUUGAGCUCACCCUUUCUUUCGCUGUUCUCUUCAGGAAAUGAGAAUAUAGUUGGGACGAGUCGGGGAACGGAAUGAUGGACCAUAUGAUAGUAUUAGUAGUCCUCACUAUUCUGUUAAAUAGUGUGACAAUAAAUGUAAUGAGGACUUAUUCUGAGAGUGGAUAUUGUUUAGAAGAUAGUAUUUGUAUUAAAACUCACAGCUCUCUUGUUGUAUAUUAAAGAUUGUAUUUGUAUUCUGUACCAUGUAUUUGGCGACUAAGAAUAGGUGAUGUAUACCUAUUUUGGCGGCAUCACAAUGUUUUUGUUUUAAAGGAAUCAAAUUGGAUUUUAUAUGAACUUACAGUGUUUACUGUGUUUACCAAUUAUCAAUAAUGGAGUUUUGAUGUAAAACAGUGUUUUCAAAGAACUAAGUUUUCUAAAAAAAAUCGUUG
rnacentral:lncRNA from 1 species